rnacentral:rRNA from 1 species
AAUCAACGCUGGCGGCGUGCCUAACACAUGCAAGUCGAGCGAGAAAGGGGACUUCGGUCCCUGAGUAGAGCGGCGGACGGGUGAGUAACACGUGGGUAAUCUACCCUUGGGUGGGGAAUAACUCAGGGAAACCUGGGCUAAUUCCGCAUGACAUUCCGGUGCCUAGGUACUGGUAAUCAAAGCUGGGGACCCUUCGGGGCCUAGCGCCUGAGGAGGAGCCCGCGGCCAAUUAGCUUGAUGGUGAGGUAAUGGCUCACCAUGGCUUCGAUUGGUAGCCGGCCUGAGAGGGCGGACGGUCACACUGGGACUGAGACACGGCCCAGACUCCUACGGGAGGCAGCAGUGGGGAAUUUUUGUCAAUGGGGAAACCCUGAACAAGCAACGCCGCGUGAAGGACGAAGACCUUCGGGUUGUAAACUUCUGUCGGAGGGGACGAAGGCGGUAUUGGUUAAUACCCAGUAUCGUUGACGGUACCCUACGAGGAAGCCCCGGCUAACUCCGUG